CAGGGGAAAUAUUACCGUAAGGAUCAAACGUGAAAUUAAAUUGAAACGAGACAUAGACUCAAGAAACAUGUAUAAACUUCCAUUAUCAAUUUACAAGGCAAUAUGUAAAAACAUAAUCGCGUGCUUGAGUGAAGCCUCCGUACUACAAAAGACGAAGCGACAUUAAUAGAAGGGUCGGGAUAAAAGUUAAAUAGUACUGUCAACGUUUGUUGCACUUCGGUAGUAUUAGACAAUAUUAGAAAAAUUGUCUAAUUAUCUGGUUGUUCGUUUCAUUUAGAAAUGAAGUGUCCAAUGUCUAAUUUAAGUUGCUAAAUUUUACCUGUUUUAAACCUUCUACUUGUAUGCUUUAAAAUCUAUACUAUUAAACGAGAAAACCUCAUUUUGUGUGUCGCUUCUCUUCCUUCCACAAUAAAUUAAUCAUCAUGCCUAUUUGUUCUAUAGGUCCGGAUAUUGUUUCCGUCAUCAGACUGACUUUUAGUCAUAGAUAAGCCUUCCGGUUUUAAACAUGCACAAGAACAACCAAUUGUAUGAUAGAUUACAAAAAUAAAAAUAAAUGAGCCAAUCAGAGCGUUCUCCAUAUCAUGGUUUCUAGAUCGCAAGAAUUACAACUAUUAUACCUCGUUAGAGACAAUUAUUAACAUGCAUAGUCGCAUUUGUCAUCCAUUCUU
rnacentral:lncRNA from 1 species